rnacentral:rRNA from 8 species
UGGAACCACCUGAUCCCAUCCCGAACUCAGCAGUGAAACGAUGCAUCGCCGAUGGUAGUGUGGGGUUUCCCCAUGUGAGAGUAGGUCAUCGUCAAGA